GAUCAUGGCUCAGGACGAACGCUGGCGGCGUGCUCAACACAUGCAAGUCGAACGGAUUAGUUGGGAGCUUGCUCCCGGCUAAGUGAGUGGCGGACGGGUGAGUAACGCGUGAACAAUCUGUCUCAUACAGGGGGAUAACGCAUCGAAAGAUGUGCUAAUACCGCGUAGGACCACGGUAUCGCAUGGUACUGAGGUGAAAGGCGAAAGUCGGUAUGAGGUGAGUUCGCGUCUGAUUAGAUAGUUGGUGAGGUAACGGCCCACCAAGUCAACGAUCAGUAGCCGACCUGAGAGGGUGAUCGGCCACAUUGGGACUGAGACACGGCCCAGACUCCUACGGGAGGCAGCAGUGGGGAAUAUUGGGCAAUGGGCGAAAGCCCUGACCCAGCAACGCCGCGUGAAGGAAGAAGGUUUUCGGAUCGUAAACUUCCGUCCUAUGAGAAGAUAAUGACGGUAUCAUAGGAGGAAGCCCCGGCUAACUACGUGCCAGCCGCGGC
rnacentral:rRNA from 1 species